rnacentral:rRNA from 1 species
GAUGAACGCUGGCGGCGUGCCUAAUACAUGCAAGUCGAGCGGACGGACGAGAAGCUUGCUUCUCUGAUGUUAGCGGCGGACGGGUGAGUAACACGUGUAUAACCUACCUAUAAGACUGGGAUCACUUCGGGAAACCGGCGCUAAUACCGGAUAAUAUUUUGAACCGCAUGGUUCAAAAGUGAAAGACGGUCUUGCUGUCACUUAUAGAUGGAUCCGCGCUGCAUUGGCUAGUUGGUAAGUUAACGGGUUACGAAGGCAACGAUGCAUAGCCGACCUAAGAGGGGGAUCGGCCACAUUGGAGCUGAGACACGGUCCAGACUCCUACGGGAGGCAGCAGUAGGGAAUCUUCCGCAAUGGGCGAAAGCCUGACGGAGCAACGCCGCGUGAGUGACGAAGGUCUUCGGAUCGUAAAACUCUGUUAUUAGGGAAGAACAUAUGUGUAAGUAACUGUGCACAUCUUGACGGUACCUAAUCAGAAAGCCACGGCUAACUACGUG